GGUUGGCGGAGCUACCAUGCAGUCGAGCGGAACGAUGGAAGCUUGCUUUCAGGCGUCGAGCGGCGGACGGGUGAGUAAUGCAUAGGAAUCUGCCCGAUAGUGGGGGAUAACCUGGGGAAACCCAGGCUAAUACCGCAUACGUCCUACGGGAGAAAGCAGGGGAUCUUCGGACCUUGCGCUAUCGGAUGAGCCUAUGUCGGAUUAGCUAGUUGGUGAGGUAACGGCUCACCAAGGCCGCGAUCCGUAGCUGGUCUGAGAGGAUGAUCAGCCACAUCGGGACUGAGACACGGCCCGAACUCCUACGGGAGGCAGCAGUGGGGAAUAUUGGACAAUGGGCGAAAGCCUGAUCCAGCCAUGCCGCGUGUGUGAAGAAGGCUUUCGGGUUGUAAAGCACUUUCAGUGGGGAAGAAAUCCUCGGGGCCAAUACCCUCGAGGGAGGACAUCACCCACAGAAGAAGCACCGGCUAACUCCGUGCCAGCAGCCGCGGUAAUACGGAGGGUGCGAGCGUUAAUCGGAAUUACUGGGCGUAAAGCGCGCGUAGGCGGCGUGAUAAGCCGGUUGUGAAAGCCCCGGGCUCAACCUGGGAACGGCAUCCGGAACUGUCAGGCUAGAGUGCAGGAGAGGAAGGUAGAAUUCCCGGUGUAGCGGUGAAAUGCGUAGAGAUCGGGAGGAAUACCAGUGGCGAAGGCGGCCUUCUGGACUGACACUGACGCUGAGGUGCGAAAGCGUGGGUAGCAAACAGGAUUAGAUACCCUGGUAGUCCACGCCGUAAACGAUGUCGACUAGCCGUUGGGGUCCUUGUGACCUUUGUGGCGCAGUUAACGCGAUAAGUCGACCGCCUGGGGAGUACGGCCGCAAGGUUAAAACUCAAAUGAAUUGACGGGGGCCCGCACAAGCGGUGGAGCAUGUGGUUUAAUUCGAUGCAACGCGAAGAACCUUACCUACUCUUGACAUCGUGCGAACUUUCCAGAGAUGGAUUGGUGCCUUCGGGAACGCACAGACAGGUGCUGCAUGGCCGUCGUCAGCUCGUGUUGUGAAAUGUUGGGUUAAGUCCCGUAACGAGCGCAACCCUUGUCCCUAUUUGCCAGCGAUUCGGUCGGGAACUCUAGGGAGACUGCCGGUGACAAACCGGAGGAAGGUGGGGACGACGUCAGGUCAUCAUGGCCCUUACGAGUAGGGCUACACACGUGCUACAAUGGCCGGUACAAAGGGUUGCGAAGCCGCGAGGUGGAGCUAAUCCCGAAAAGCCGGUCUCAGUCCGGAUCGGAGUCUGCAACUCGACUCCGUGAAGUCGGAAUCGCUAGUAAUCGUGAAUCAGAAUGUCACGGUGAAUACGUUCCCGGGCCUUGUACACACCGCCCGUCACACCAUGGGAGUGGACUGCACCAGAAGUGGUUAGCCUAACUUCGGAGGGCGAUCACCACGGUGUACGU
rnacentral:rRNA from 1 species